GAGGGUGGAGCUCAGUGGUAGAGCUCACGCUUAGCAUGCAUGAGGUCCUGGGCUCAAUCCCCAGUACCUCCA
rnacentral:tRNA from 1 species